AUCGUGGUAAGUGAAUGGUCAAUAAUAUCAAUUGCUUUCGUUUUAAACGAUGUCGUAUAGUGAGCUUGCUUGAUAAAUUCUGAUAUCUUUAACCUAAUAUAUUUUUCUUCUUCCUCACUUCCAGCGGCGCAUAUCUCCCUAUCGAGAAGAUUAUCAAAUGAUGGUUACUGGAGAGCAAUUUUGGUAAAUGUUUCUUUUAUAUAUUUGGAUGAUUUUCAAUGACAGCUUUGUAAAUGAUUUUCUUAAUAAACUUGCGUAAAGUUAAGACUGAUUUAUUUCUUACACAUCAAAGAGAUCAACACUCUAGUUUUCAUGGAAAGUCGUGCAAUUAAAGGUAACAGUUUUGGAUUUGCAAGAUUGCCAGACCCAGGAAAACUACCUUCUUCAGCUAGUUUCAUGUCUACUUCGGACCAAGCAGAACACAAAUGAAAAGAGAGCUAACUUACCAUGUAGAUGAGCAAAUUUCCAGAAUUACUUGUUGAAGAAGAAGACGCCACUGAAAAAUAGUUCUGUAAUAGUUAUUUUGCUUGCAUUUUUGUGGUUAAAAAUUCAGUAACGAGCAAUUCUAGCUUUCUUAUAAUUUUUUUUUAACUUUAUGUAAGUAUGCUAAGACAAUUUCAAUGUUAAUUAUUUAGGUUUCAACUUUAAAAUUUA